UUUAUUGGAGAGUUUGAUCCUGGCUCAGGAUGAACGCUGGCGGCGUGCCUAAUACAUGCAAGUCGAGCGAAUAGAUUGAGAGCUUGCUCUCAAGAAGUUAGCGGCGGACGGGUGAGUAACACGUGGGUAACCUGCCCAUAAGACUGGGAUAACUCCGGGAAACCGGGGCUAAUACCGGAUAACAUUUUGAACUGCAUGGUUCGAAAUUGAAAGGCGGCUUCGGCUGUCACUUAUGGAUGGACCCGCGUCGCAUUAGCUAGUUGGUGAGGUAACGGCUCACCAAGGCAACGAUGCGUAGCCGACCUGAGAGGGUGAUCGGCCACACUGGGACUGAGACACGGCCCAGACUCCUACGGGAGGCAGCAGUAGGGAAUCUUCCGCAAUGGACGAAAGUCUGACGGAGCAACGCCG
rnacentral:rRNA from 1 species